rnacentral:rRNA from 1 species
ACGCCGUCUGGGGAAUGGCUUGGCUUGAGCGCUGAAGAAGGGCGCGGCAAGCGGCGAAACGCCUCGGGUAAGCGCAUGCAGCUGUAGAACCGAGGAUGCCCGAAUGAGACUUCUCACUGCGAGUUCUUCGGAACUCGUGGCGCUUCCACAAGGAAGCGGGAACCCCCCGAACGGAAACAUCUUAGUAGGGGGAGGAAAAGAAACCAAACGAGAUUCCCUAAGUAGCAGCGAGCGAAAAGGGAAAAGUCCAAACCGAAUCCGGUAAGGAAACUUAUCGGAAAUGUAGAGUUGCGGACCCGGCCUCCUCUUCGCCAGCGAAGCCGAAGUGACCUGGAAAGGUCUGCGAUACAGGGUGAAAGCCCCGUAGGCGUAAACUGGAAAGAGCUGGGCUGGAGCUCCCGAGUAUCGUACCUUGGUUUUGGUGCGAGAAACUAGGGGUCAUCAACCUCUAAGACUAAAUACGCCUCAAGACCGAUAGCGCACUAGUACGGUGACGGAAAGUUGAAAAGCACCCCGGAAGGGGGGUGAAAAGAGCCUGAAACCAGACGGUAACAGACGUGUGCAGCCCGGAAGGGCAGACUCCUUCCAAAGGAACCCAUGGCAACAUGGCAGUACGAGGGAGGACGACCAGGGUUGCACGCUCCGUCUAGAAACACGGGCCGGGGAGUUCACGGCUGUGGCAAGCUUAAAGGCUCUAAAAAGCCUGCAAGCAAAGGGAAACCAAAACGCGCGCAGUCAGCUUUAUGCUGAUGAGGCGCUGGGUCUGAAAGGGCCCGAAGUCACGGCUAUGAAACUAGAAACCGGGCGAUCUAGCCCUGGGCAGGUUGAAGCCAGGCGAAAGCCUGGUGGAGGACCGAAAGGGUGCUGACGUGCAAUUCGCUCCGUUGACCUGGGGCUAGGGGCGAAAGACCAAUCUAGCCCGGUGAUAGCUAGUUCCCUCCGAAGUGGGUCGCAGCCCAGCCUCGAGUGAGAUCGCUGAUGGGGUAGAGCACUGAUUGGAAAGUAAGGGGUCGAAAGACCUCGCUUUUCUUUCAAACUCCGAAUCUACCAGCGUCGUAGACCUCGAGAGACGGGCCAUAGGGGGUAAGCUCCUAUGCCGAGAGGGGAACAACCCAGACUGUGGUUAAGGCCCCAAAGUGCUGGCUAAAUGUUAAACUGAAAGGCGUCGUCAGCCUUAGACAGCGGGGAGGUAGGCUUAGAAGCAGCCACCCUUUAAAGAAAGCGUAACAGCUCACCCGUCGAGGCUGACGGCCCUGAAAAUGGACGGGGCUAAGCCAGCCGCCGAAACCUCAGGGCACAACCGCAUAGGUUGUGAUCCGGUAGGAGGGCGUCCCGACUGGGCAGAAGCUGGGCCGUGAGGUCCAGUGGACCGGUUCGGGAUUGAAAAUCCCGGUGGUAGUAACAGCAUAGAGGGGUGAGAAUCCCCUCCGCCGAAAGGGCCAGGGUUCCCCGGCAACGCGUCGUCAGCCGGGGGUAAGUCGGUCCUAAGGCAUGUCUUAACCGACCAUGCCGAAAGGGAAACCGGUUAAAAUUCCGGUACUACAGAGGUACACGCGGCAACGCAAGCCCAACACCCAACGCUUCGGGGUAGACUGAGCAAGGCUGUCGCCUUGUUUAACCGUAUAAGCCUGGAGAGUGCCGCAAUGGCGAGAACUAGGUGAAAGCGGGAAUAGCCGCCCGUUUUAGGGCGGUUCAGCCGAUCUCUGGAGCCAGUGAAAAAGGUGUCGGGAAGGACCCUCUGUGACCGUACCAAGAUCCGACACAGGUGUCCCUAGGCGAGAAACCUAAGGCGUAUCGGGUACACACCAAGCGAGGGAACUCGGCAAUUUAGCCCUGUACCUUCGGUAUAAGGGGUGCCUGCAGUUUUGGCUUCGGCUGGAACCGCAGGUCGCAGUGGCAAGGGGGUCCCGACUGUUUAAUAAAAACACAGGAAGCCGCAAGCCCGAAAGGGUGUGAACGGCUUCUGAAUCCUGGCCAGUACAGGUUCCUCAAACCCGGGUUCAACCGGGCUAAGGGCCUGCAAACGCCGGGAGUAACUCUGACUCUCUCAAGGUAGCCAAAUGCCUUGUCGGGUAAGUUCCGACGUGCAUGAAUGGAGCAACGAGGACCCCGCUGUCCCCGCUUGGUACCCGGUGAACCCACAUGACGUGGACGAACAGUCCACGAACUCCCAGCUGGAAAAGAAGACCCCGUGGAGUUUUACUGCAGCCUGUCGCUGGGAUGUGGCUGCGGAUGCAGAGCGUAGGCGGGAGCCUUCGAUCCCAGUCUCUCCGGGGGCUGGGGGAGGCGCCAAUGGAACACCGCCCUUCUGUAAUCAUGUCUCUUACCGGCGCUUCGGCGCUGGAACAACGAUAGGUGGGCAGUUUGGCUGGGGCGGCACCCCCUUGAAAAAAUAUCGAGGGGGCCCAAAGAUCGGCUCAGACGGGUCAGAAACCCGUCGUAGAAUGCAAAGGCAAAAGCCGGUCUGACUGAAUCCUCCAAAGCAAGGGAUUCAGAGGCGAAAGCCGGGCUUAGCGAACAUCCAUGUCCCUAUUGAUGGGGGCUGGAUAUGACAGAAAAAUUACCCCGGGGGUAACAGGCUCGUCGCGGGCGAGAGUCCCCAUCGACCCCGCGGCUUGGUACCUCGAUGUCGGCUCUUCCUAUCCUGGCCCUGCAUAAGGGGCCAAGGGUGAGGCUGCUCGCCUAU